CAACUUUCGACUUAGGUCUCUGACGCCCAUGGAGUCCUGGAUGCUCAGCAGGGAAACUGAGGACCCCAAGGAAGCGCCUAAGGGAUGUUUGCUGAGGGAGGAAACAGGUCCCUGGACGGACAGACAGACAGACGAGCGUGGCUCAGUGGGUGAAGGAAUGACUGCGCCCCGCCCUGACCAGCCAGCCUGGCAGAGAGGACCCCUGCUGGUGACUCAAAUCCAAGACACGCAGUCCCCAGAGUGUGUGGCCCCCCACCUCCAUCCCAGGGGACGCCUCCACCUAAGCAGUGGGGCCAUUGUCUAAGAAUGGCCACGUGUGUCCCCGGGCCUGGAUCUGGACCAUGGUGGGCCACUGGCCACCAUCCCCACCCUUCCAAGAGGGCAACUGCCCCCUAAUGUCCCUCGCCAUCUUUUACGACCCAAGCAGUAUGCACAGCCCUGCUUCAUGAAAACAAAACGAGCUGCAUCAACAGCAGAGAGCAGACUUUCCAGGCCACCAGUUCUGGGGACCAAUUCAGGGGAGAAAGAAGGCCUGGCCUCCAAGCCCACCUUGUACCCUCGCUGGGGGAUCCUGGGACCGCUCCCUCUUGGGAAGCAGAGACCCAAACCCA
rnacentral:lncRNA from 1 species